rnacentral:lncRNA from 1 species
UUAUAAUUGAAAAGAUGCAACAAACUUACCUCGAUACAUUAUACCCAUUCCUAACUCAACGAGAUAAUCAAAGACUCACUCACUGAACACACACUUGUAGCCGAAAGCUAGAAGUAAGAAACUUGAUAUUUUAUUAAUGAUUUGAAUUGUGAUUACAAGAGGUGGUGAUGGCCUCCUUAGAUAGGCUUUCAUUAUCUUAUUCUACUUGAACAAGGAAU